rnacentral:rRNA from 1 species
GACAGAGGUGCCAAGCGUUAUUCGGAAUCACUGGGCUUACAGGGUGCGUAGGCGGCCUGUUAAGUAGGGUGUGAAAUCCCCCGGCCCAACCGGGGAAUGGCGCUCUAAACUAGCAGGCUUGAGUGAGCUAGGGGUACACGGAACUUCCAGUGGAGCGGUGAAAUGUGUUGAUAUUGGAAGGAACACCGGAGGCGAAAGCGGUGUACUGGGGCUUAACUGACGCUGAGGCACGAAAGCCAGGGGAGCGAACGGG